CAAAAAGGCACACAGAGGGGCUGGAGAUAAAGAGACACACAUAGGGGCAGUAUAUAUCACUGGUGGAUGGGGGGGGCAACGCCCCCCCCCCCCCCCAAGGCUUUCCCCUGCCGGCCGAUCUCCCUCCCCGUUCCACAGGCACCGUGCAGCCAGUCGGCAGGGGAGGAAGAGAGGACCUGGGGCAACGCUCCGGCUCUCACGAGGGUGAACUCUAGCCCUGGAGCUACGGGCUAGAGUUCACUCUCACCACUUCCUGGUGGUCCCAGUAGUAGGAGUGAACUCUAGCCCCAUACACACACUGCCCCCCACACACACACCAUACA